GACGAACGCUGGCGGCGUGCUUAACACAUGCAAGUCGAGCGGUAAGGCCCCUUCGGGGGUACACGAGCGGCGAACGGGUGAGUAACACGUGAGCAAUCUGCCCAUCACAUCGGGAUAACUCCGGGAAACCGAAGCUAAUACCGAAUACGACCACCUCCGGCAUCGGAUGGUGGUGGAAAGUUCCGGCGGUGAUGGAUGGGCUCGCGGCCUAUCAGCUUGUUGGUGGGGUAACGGCCCACCAAGGCUUCGACGGGUAGCCGGCCUGAGAGGGUGACCGGCCACACUGGGACUGAGACACGGCCCAGACUCCUACGGGAGGCAGCAGUGGGGAAUAUUGGACAAUGGGCGAAAGCCUGAUCCAGCAACGCCGCGUGAGGGAUGACGGCCUUCGGGUUGUAAACCUCUUUCAGCAGGGACGAAGCGCAAGUGACGGUACCUGCAGAAGAAGCACCGGCCAACUACGUG
rnacentral:rRNA from 1 species